GGAAGAACGAAGGAAGUUAGGAAGGAAGAAAGAAACAGAAAGAACGAAAAGGAGAAAUCUGCACAGAAGGACGUCAGAACCACUCCGACCUAAAAUCGAGCAUAUUCAACAUGUUGGACUGUCUUGGCCUGAUAUCCUACCGUGUGGGGUGCUCACCAAGGACAAACGAGCACACAGCCUGUUGAAUGUGACAUGUGGCCAAUCAGAAAGCUGAGGGCCGUGGCGGAGCUGGUGCCUAUCUCCAGCAGUCUGAGCGAGAGGCAGGGUACACC